rnacentral:rRNA from 1 species
AACCCACGCUAAACCUCACCCACCUUUGCAUAAACAGUCUAUAUACCUCCGUCGCCAGCCCGCCUGAAAACAGACACAAAGCGGGUAUAAUAGCCCAUCGCUAAUACGACAGGUCAAGGUGUAACUAAUAGGUCGGGCAGAGAUGGGCUACAUUUUCUAAAAUUGAACAUACCAACCUCACUAUGAAACUUGUGAUAAAAGGUGGAUUUAGCAGUAAGUAAGGACAAGAAAAGCCCAACUGAAACGCGCC